rnacentral:lncRNA from 1 species
AUGGUCCAGCGUUUGACAUACCGCUGUAGGCUUUCCUACAACACAGCCUCUAACAAAACUAGGCUGUCUCGAACCCCUGGCAACAGGAUUGUUUACCUCUACACCAAGAAGAUUGGGAAAGCACCUAAAUCCGCAUGUGGCGUGUGCCGGGGCAGACUGCGAGGGGUUCGUGCUGUGAGACCCAAAGUCCUUCUGAGAUUGUCUAAGACGAAGAAGCGCGUCAUGACGCAGGGCCUAUGGUGGGUCCAUGUGUGCCAAGUGUGUCUGUGACGGGAUCAAGCGGGCUUUCCUAUUGAGGAGCAGAAAAUCAUUGUGAAAGUGCAGAAGGCACAAGCACAGAGUCAGAAAGCAAAAUAG